rnacentral:lncRNA from 1 species
AAACAGCUCUUCCUUGAAGGAAAAUUAUCCUAUUCAAACUCGACAAACAUAGAAUUGUAGCGCUGACGAGAAAGUACGUAUGAAAUUAUAUUAUAACGUCAGGAGACUAAAUGGAGUCCUCUUAUUAUGUUUAUGUUCAUCGUUUAAAUUCACCUAAGAUGUUUGCAUACUGAUUUGAAUGUUAUAUACUCUGUUGGGUUGGAUGCAGAAAUCAUUUGCGGAGACAGGACAGAAUUCAAAGGAAAGUGUACGUACAAAAUUCCUUGUCCGGCUGGUCCAAUGCACGACGAGAUUGGUCAUGUUUCCAAUCAGGUAAGACGUCAACCCCAAGUUGAAUAACAUGUAGAAUAUAUCAAAAAGCAUCUCUCUUGGAUUCUCAGCAUGUAAAUCUCCAUAACCUGUUGUAGUUAACGUAGUGAUAGACCAAUAAAUUGAGGUAACAUAUCUGUUCCACAGAGAGUCUUCUUUGAAAUUUGGGUUUACUGCACCAAUCCAUGUUCUCCUGGGGUCAGGAUAUCUAUCUGCAAUUAGAUAGUUGAAACAUCCAGCACAAUGUACCGCAAAUAGGGUUACCUGGAAGCACCAAAAAGACGGUUGAAAAUCGAUAGGAAUGGCAUGCAUAUGCUGUCUGAAAUUUAGCAUUCUAGGUUUUAUAAGACUUACAGAAGUAAGCUUUGUGCAACGAGUCCAGAAAUAAUUGAAGCGGAUAUCCUUCUCAAGCCUGAAGGAAAGAAAGCACGUCUAUUGCGUUACAUAUCUUAUUUCAAGUAUAAAUAAAACACAAGCCAAGGGGGUUUGUAAGACCUUGCAAACAGUGAGCUGACUCUUCUGAGACGCCAGAGACGGAGCAUGUUUAGUAAUUUGAAUCCAAGUUCACUGCUAUGAUCUCUGAACAGAAGGCUGACUGGUAGAAAUGGGGCAGUCGAACUGACAUCGAAGACAAACCAGGUAGAUAUGUACCUGCGGAUUGGGUUAGAGGAAUCUGCUUCCAGUAAAACAAACUCGAGACGAUUUUCAUCAACCUAAACAAACGUAUGCAAAAGCGUUUUGAAAGCCAUACUCACCUAAUUGCUAUUUUUUUAGGGUCAUCGAUGAGGAGGCAAGAUUGGCUAUCAAGAUAGGCAACGAAGAAGGUGAGAACAAUAUCAAUGGCGAAGAAACCAUUGACAAUGUUGUCAACAACAAAAAGACUGUCUUUCUUGUAAGUCAGAAAUGCAAACUGAAACGGAGAGAUCCAUGCAGAGUAAAUGACCAGAACAACCAGCCACAUCUGCCAAGCCCUGUAAGGACAUUAUAGUUUACCCAUGAGACUAGGCACAAGAAACAAAGAGGUAAAAGCAACUAAGCAAGUGACUUAUAGAAAGUGGAAUCACCUGUACCGAGGAUUGUAAGGGGAAAUAAUGCGUCUUCUGAGUUCAAUUUCCUGGUUGAUUCUGGCUCCAAGGGAUGGUACGAGAUCGUUAGAGAAGAAGCUUCCAUGGAGGACACUAUCCGUAUGAACCUCAUCCGUAAAGAAGCGUUGUACGAAGCUUUUGGCAGAAGAGAAGAACAUAUUGUUGGAUUUUGAAUUGCUAAGGGCAGUGUUAAAAUCUCAAGUUGGGUGCGCAAAUGCCUGUGGUACGUAUGUAUGUAUAUAGGAAAAUAUAUGUAGAAAGAGGUAGAAAGUAUGAAGCUUGAGACUCGUGAGUGAUGAAAAAGGUAGAAGAAGUCUACUUUUUCCUCCUACUCUUAAGUUGCUCUCAAUACCGUGACAUGUCUGAAAGGAUUCUGCAGGAAGCUUGUGUAACGAAAUGAUCUUUGGUAAGGGGUGAAAGGGAAAGCUGGAACAGAGUAAAGAGGACCAGUUUUCAUCAUGUUUGCACAAAAAGGGUUAGCAGAAGACUGGGAAUAGAAGAAGAGGGAUAAUGGUCAGGAGACGCAAGGUUUUGUAUUCUUGUGAAAAUGCAAAUGCUUGAGGGUAAGUUAGAAGUCUGGUUUGUGUUCAAGAAAGAAGUGGGGGAGGGAAAUCAAGGAGGGAAGAAGAUGGCAAAUGCCAAUGGAAACGAUGCUUCUUUUCCUGGUGGUGGUGGUGGUGGAAGGUCCAUCAUCUAAUAUAUAACACAUGUGGAGGUGUGAAAUCAUAUGUAGACAAAAGGUUGGGUUCUGGAAGGACAGAUUUGAGUGAAAUUAAGUUGGUGUUUUCAUUUCAGGAUCCAGAACUGGACCAGACAGCUUAAAGCAAGAACAUUUGAAGAGGGAGCGCUGAAGUGUCAUGGAAGCCACGUGGACCAAUGGGUGGCUGUUUUAGAGGUUUGGCACAUUUGGUGAAAUCAAGUCUUUCCCGACAGACUGACUGGUUAGUGAUUUCCUUCUCUCAUUAUUACUCAUUCCGUGAGCUCCUCUUCCUCCCUCCUCUCCUUAAUGCACAUGCUAACGUUGUUUUGUCUAAUGCAAAUGCACAAAAUUCAAUCAUUACAGCCAUGAAUCCGUCCAAACUAAGAUCCCCUCCAUCCAUCCAUCCAUCCAUCCAUCCAUCCACCAACAUAAUGAUAUAUAAAACCUUACGGCUCUCACCUAACCAAGAGACUUGCCAUUUAUCUUACUGGAGAAAUUUAUUAUUAUUAUUAUUAUUAUCAAGUUUUUAUCUUUUUCACCGACUACCCAUUAAUUGAAUGGCCCCAUGACUUGGAUUCCUUGAUGAUCCGCCGCAUGUUCCAUUGUUAUCCGAAGCUACUGAGGCGAUAUGGAUUUGAUUUCGUUUCUUUUCAUUUCUUUUCGAGUUUGACAUGAUUGCUCCGGCUCUUUUGCGUUUGAUAUAUGUUUGCGUUAUUUUUAAGAUGAACAAACCCUUAUGCUGAUAAAGUCGGCCAACUUUCCAGGCAAACGGGAAGCCAGAAGAAGAAGCCUACAAAACUUCAAAACAAAAAGAUAGCAAGUCCGUCCGUCUAAAUGAUUAUUAUUCUACUUCAAAUGUGGAAAGAAUUGGUGGGGACUGGGGACCCAUUUGUGGGGAAAAGGGUAUCUCCUACUCCCACGAGAUUCCUCUGCUAAAAAGGGUGGCAGAUUUUAGCCAGUCGGAAGAGAAUAGGGGCAGCAGGGAAAGGCAGCCAGGUCAACUGAAUUUGCUUGCACCUACCUUGGCCGUAAGCAAGUAUGGUACUAAUCAAAGUGAAAUUCCGUCUUAUCCGAGAAUAAUUAGGGAGGAUCAUGGAAAUCAAAGUUGACACGAUGCAGCUACUCGCAUCAUGCAUUUUGUUAGUGAAACUUUCCCUGUGAGAAAGGAUGAAGAAUACAGUUCCUUUUCAACGUGAUUUCUAUUGCUAAAAGGCGAAAGGAAAAGGGAAGGUGGGGUAGAAGAAGAAGAAGAAGAAGACGAAGAAGAGGAAGAAGAAAGUGAAAUAGCUUAUUAAGAAGAAUAUUUAGUGAUAAGUGAUGGUGGUGGAUGAUGGGUUAUUUCAAGUCUUUUCCAGAGGAAGGAUCUGCCGUUUUCUGGGGGUGGGUUCGAGUAAGGUAAAGUUUACGCAUGGGUUCGGUCGGUUGGGUCCUACGGCCUUUACUUCCCAGCCAACCAAAACUGAAAAUGGGACAAAUCGGUACCCUUGCAACGGCGUCGUCCCAACACACCAUGUGCUGCCCAGGACAGAAGAUCUAACGCUAUGUCUCGUUCGUCCUUUCUAGUUUCUUCCAUUCCAGUCGCCAGUUAAUCUGAUGAGAAAUGAUCUUAUCCAUUCACCGUUGCAUAAGCCCUUAGCUGCAGGGUUAGGCUUGGAGUAGUGGUCUAGAAAUUGGGUAUGCACCGGAAAUCUGUCCGGUCUGGAUGGUUAAAAUUUGGUCAACUCGAGUAAUGGACGAACACGGGACAGAUCGCAUGGUAUUCACCUCGUCUAAGAAUGUCAUUGUUGUUGGAUUGCGACGGAAUCCAACAACAACCUCAACACAAAACCUUGAACUCAAACUCUUUGACAAGGGGUAGAAAUACAGGAGUAAAUAGCUCGCUGAUAUAAUUAACAAUUCUCUAAGCACAAAUCGGCACACAUUUUAACGAACAAACAAUAUUAAAC